rnacentral:lncRNA from 1 species
GGCAAUUGUUUUCGAGAAAUCGAGAUAGGACCGUUACGACUGACAGAACGUCGUGAGACUUAACUCGAAACUCAACCAAGCGCUUGCGCAAAUUUUUAGUCAAUAACUUGGACCGCCCCCGCGAUUAUGGAAUUGCACGCUGUAAAAUUCACGAUACAAAUUAGAGACGUAUACGUAUGUGCGGCUAGAUUAUUCUGAAUAUUUUUUUUGAAAUUACCCUAGUUUCUAGACCUGAUCUGUGAAAAAUCACUCCUCUUGAAAAAUUCACAUUCGCAGAAAAUCGUGAUCAGUUUUCAACGCUUUAAGGUAGACGAAAGUUUCAUCAGAUUCGUCUUAGUCGUUUAAGUGACUCAUCGGAGUUUUAAUCGUCAUUUUCAAACAAUCGCUGAACAGCAUGUAGAAUUUUCAAGCCUUAUGAACAGCAGAUGUUGUAGCAGCUUUAAAUUGACAAAGAAGUCUCAUAUAUGCAUUUCCGGUAUCAGUGAUGAAUAGCGGUUAGUGGUUCUGCAGCAACGAAUUCAGACUUACGUUUUGCAACAGAGGAUAUUUAGUUCAUCUUUCAGAAGAGAGCAUGGUAAAUUUACUGUUUGAAAAGCUACUAAGAAUUUGGUACCAAUUCACUAACGAGAUGACAAGACGGAUAGCACUACAUAUUCCAAACAAUAGCCUCACAGGUGACUGAUGACAGGAUUUCUAUCUGAGCAGCCUUCAGUGAUGCAAUACCGAUUGCCUCCUUUUAUCCCCAACUAUUCUAUAAAAUAAAGGUACUCGUAGAUACCAAAUGUUUACUGGUGGUCACAGGAUUAUGAGGUCUCUGGAGUAAUUACUGCGUACCAAUAUUAUUUCACAGUUGGCCACAUAGAUUCGUAUGUGUAGAAUUCAUAGUGUCAAUGCACAAUAAUGUGAUCGUGUGUAAACAGUGUUGUACAUUAGUAACACAAUUUCAUUUGUAACGUUGAUAGUCAUUUUAGAGAUCUGAUUUCAGAUUGAACUUCUGUGCAUCUGAUGCUAUUUUCAACUACACCAUGAAAUAAUUUGAUACUAAUUGUAACUCAUUGGUUGGAUGUUGAAGUUGAUGAUGAUAUAUUUAUCUCCUCAAAGAAGAGAAAGAACCAUGGAGUUCAGCUAUAGCAAGUAAUCGGCUGAAGAACAGUUCCGGUGUACAACUCUUCACAGCUUUGAACAGUAUGUUUCUCAGGGCGUCCUACCUUUUUUGUGACUCACAUGAAAAAUGAAUAUAAUCGCGUAUCGUCCACAAAUAAUUUAUAUUACUUCAUUUUUCGUAUUUUACAAACUAGCUUGGGAACAAUUAUCUCUUCGUGAUCCUGGUUGUAACUCUUGAGUUUGUACAACACUGUAUGAAUAUAAAUUAGGAAAAAUUUGUAUAUCCGUGGAAAUUUAUACAAGGAAUCAUGUAAUGUAUUUGUUUCAAUGCAUGAUGAUUUCUGGAAUUAUCAACUCAUGCGUUUUAGUAUACCUACUUGAUCCAUACAAAUAUACAAAUCAUGCAUAUGUAUAUAUUUAAAAUUCUGCCGGCCAAAAAAUUAAUUAAAUGAUUGACAAUAUUUUCUUGCAAGUAUCGAAAAUCUAUCGUCCGGUAUCCAGAUUGAAUCUAAGAAAUGCAUUUUGUACAAAGACAUAAUUACCUUCGAUAUGCCAAAACACUAUUAUAUAUCUUCGGUCCUUAACUCGCAAGUUAGGAGUUGACUGAAGACAACGAGAUAGGUAAUAAUAUAUAUUGAGUAGCAAAUGACAAUUUAUAAAAUAUCCUCUCAAUAGCGCCAGUGUUCCAUAUAAGUACAACCCUGGUGAGGCUUACAACGGAACACUAACCAACUAUCGUUCUUGAAAUCAACGAGUUGGUUACGUUGGUUCGAACACCCUUAACACAGAAGUGUGUUCAGAAUACCAUUGUGUAUUGUCCGGGUUAAGUGUUUGAGAACUUCAAGAAAUGGGGAAAAAAUGUCGCGACUUUGUACUUUGUACCCUUUGUACUAUCUAUAGGAGGGUAGAUAUACUAGACAGUACUGCAUCUUGAA